rnacentral:rRNA from 1 species
CAGUCGCCGCGGUAAUACGAAGGGUGCAAGCGUUAAUCGGAAUUACUGGGCGUAAAGCGUGCGUAGGCGGUUUGUUAAGUCUGUUGUGAAAUCCCCGGGCUCAACCUGGGAAUGGCAAUGGAUACUGGCAAGCUAGAGUGUGUCAGAGGAUGGUGGAAUUCCCGGUGUAGCGGUGAAAUGCGCAGAGAUCGGGAGGAACAUCAGUGGCGAAGGCGGCCAUCUGGGACAACACUGACGCUGAGGCACGAAAGCGUGGGGAGCAAACAGGAUUAGAUACCCGAGUAGUCCCUGUCUCUUAUAC